rnacentral:lncRNA from 1 species
AUUAUCUUGAAUAUUAUUAUAGAUAGAGAUAAACUGUAAACAGGAAAAAUGUUCAGCAAAGUAAGAUUUACAAAUAAGUCAACAUGACGGAAAUGGUCAGUAGACCCCUUUAGGAGUUAUUGCUCUUUAUAGUCAAUUUUUAACCAUUUUUCGUAAAUCUUAGUAAUCUUUUACAAAAAUCUUCUCCUCUGAAACUACUGGGCCAAAUACUUCCAAACUUUAAUUGAAUGUUCCUUAGGGUAUCUUGUUUGUAAAUUGUAUCCGAAGUUAUGAUCUAUCAACAAACAUGGUCGCCAUUGCUAAAAAUAGAACAUAGGGGUCAAAUGCAGUUUUUGGGCUUAUAACUCAAAAACCAAAGCAUUUAGAGCAAAUCUGACAUGGGAUAAUAUUGUUUAUCAGGUCAAGAUCUAUCUGCCCUGAAAUUUUCAGAUGAAUCAGACAACCUGUUGUUGGGUUACUGCCCCUGAAUUGGUAAUUUUAAAGAAAUUUUGCUGUUUUUGGUUAUUAUCUUGAAUAUUAUUAUAGAUAGAGAUAAACUGUAAACAGCAAUAAUGUUCAGCAAAGUAAGAUUUACAAAUAAGUCAACAUGACGGAAAUGGUCAGUUGACCCCUUUAGGAGUUAUUGCCCUUUAUAGUCAAUUUUUAACCAUUUUUCGUAAAUCAGUAAUCUUUUACAAAAAUCUUCUCCUCUGAAACUACUGGGCCAAAUACUUCCAAACUUUAACAGAAUGUUCCUUAGGGUAUCUAGUUUGUAAAUUGUAUCCGAAGUUAUGAUCUAUCAACAAACAUGGUCGCCAUUGCUAAAAAUAGAACAUAGGGAUCAAAUGCAGUUUUUGGCUUAUAACUCAAAAACCAAAGCAUUUAGAGCAAAUCUGACGUUGGGUAAUAUUGUUUAUCAGGUCAAGAUCUAUCUGCCCUGAAAUUUUCAGAUGAAUCAGAC